rnacentral:rRNA from 1 species
UACGGAGGGGGCUAGCGUUGUUCGGAAUUACUGGGCGUAAAGCGCACGUAGGCGGCUUUGUAAGUUAGAGGUGAAAGCCCGGGGCUCAACUCCGGAAUUGCCUUUGAGACUGCAUCGCUAGAAUUGUGGAGAGGUAAGUGGAAUUCCGAGUGUAGAGGUGAAAUUCGUAGAUAUUCGGGAGAACACCAGUGGCGAAGGCGACUUACUGGACACAUAUUGACGCUGAGGUGCGAAAGCGUGGGGAGCAAACAGG